rnacentral:rRNA from 1 species
CAGUAGCCACGGUAAUACGUAGGUGGCAAGCGUUGUCCGGAAUUAUUGGGCGUAAAGGGCUCGCAGGCGGUUCCUUAAGUCUGAUGUGAAAGCCCCCGGCUCAACCGGGGAGGGUCAUUGGAAACUGGGAAACUUGAGUGCAGAAGAGGAGAGUGGAAUUCCACGUGUAGCGGUGAAAUGCGUAGAGAUGUGGAGGAACACCAGUGGCGAAGGCGACUCUCUGGCCUGUAACUGACGCUGAGGAGCGAAAGCGUGGGGAGCGAACAGGAUUAGAUACCCCUGUAGUCCCUGUCUCUUAUAA